ensembl:lncRNA
GUUUGUCACACCCUACGUCAUAUGGAUACACAUGCAGUGUUUGAGCUGUAGCUGUUUUGUGGCAGUAGUAGCUGAAUCUGGCCAAUGACAACUUUGCGCGCCUCUCACCGGUCAAGUUUGAAAAUACAUCGGUUUCAGUGGGUAUGCUGCUGCUGGACUAUUCGGUCGGUGUACUAGAUUUACACAACACAACUCAUGAAACCUGCAUCCUGACCUGCCUGCCCCUUGGAUUCUCCUACCGCCUAGCCCUGCCUGUACUGUCGCUUUUGUGGACUGAUCACCCGGUAUUCCGACCUGCCUGCCUGUCCCUGGAUUCUCCUACCGUCUGCCCCUGCCUGUACUGUUGCCUUCGCGGACUGAUCACCCGGUAUCGUGACCUGCCUGCCUGCUUCUGGUUUUUCCUCUCUGCCGAGCCCUGCCUGUACCUUUGCCUACGUGGACUGAUCUCCUGAUUUCUGAACCUUACUGCCUGUCUCUACUGUUUUUGCUCCUGCCGGCUCCCCUGUACAUCAAAAUCGACAGUAGCGUUUCUGCAAUUGGAACCACACAGCCCCGUCCUCGGUGUUCAUUACAUACAUACAGUGAGGGAAAUAAUUAUUUCAUCCCCUGCUGAUUUUGUACGUUUGUCCAAUGACAAAGAAAUGGACUGAUCAUUACUUUGACAUUUGGCAAACGUACAAAAUCAGCAGUGGACCAAAUUAUUUUUCCCCCUCACUGUACAAUGUAAUGGAAUCUCAAUGUUCUGCAUUAUAUUAUUUCAACACAGACACUGAUAUUUUAAAUCAUUUUAAAUCAUUUGAAUAUAGAUUUUUCCUCUCCUCAUCACACUUUUUACAUUCUAACCUGUUUUCUUCUUUCUCAUCUCUCUUUCUAAUCCUCUCUUCUUUAAUCUCCUCUCUCCUCUUCCUUCAUCACUCUCUUCUCCCUCCUCUACUGUGCUGCUCCUCUGUCUCUGUCUUGGCUGCAAUUCUCCUGGUCUUCUGAUUCACACUGAUCAGAACACAGACCAUCCCCAGCAGAGCACAGCCCAUCAGUGAAGAGUAAACUCUGUAGAACAUGGAGUUGAUGCCAAAGGGGUCCCACUCCACCAAGACUGUCUUAGUUACUGAGACACACACCCCUUCAUAGAAGACAGCAAACCAGUACUCCCCCCUGUCAGACAGUGAGAGGUUGGAGAGAACCAGAAAGGAGGGAUGCAUUUAUUCUGCCCUACAGGUAUUCAGGGUAGUUUGCUAUUGUAACUGGUCCUGUGUCCAGAAUGACAUCGUUCACCUGAGCAGGUCUGUACCACACCACCCUGUCAGACUCAGUGAGAUUAGAGGUACAGCUGAGAACAACCUCCUCUCCCUCUGAGAAGAACUCUGUGAGCGGCUCAGACUUGGGACACACCAGGAGAUCAUAGCCUUUUAUGAGCUCAACUUCCAUUGGUGGUAAAUUGAUAUUGCAAUCAUACCAUCCUGAGUGGUUAAGCAUCAGUGAUGGGAUGACCUGGAAGUAGUCUCCUGAUGUUCCUCCAUCUGACACGUACAUCUGAUUCCGUCUUCUAAUGAGAUGUUUGGUGUUCCAUGAGAUCAUCCUAGGGUAUGUGUCAGUCCACCCGGUGUUCCAUUUUGUUUCUGUCCCAUUGCGGUCAUCAGGGUUAAAAAAGGGCAGCACAGCCUCAUCUCCCACUUACAGACCAACAUACUGUACCUGAGGGGACAGAGUAUAGAUGUGUCUGGAAACACAAUCCUGUCCCUCCAAUAUCACAGGUGUACAGUAAAUAUGUUUUGUCCUACUUAAUGAUGUUGUUUAAGGUGAGAGACGAGCUGUUCUUAGACACCACAUAUUUGCUCUUUUGCCAGUCAUAACAGAACCAUCUGACUGUCGUGUUGUUACCAUCUCUUUUACCCCCACACUGUAGCUCUACUGUGUCUCCAGGAUGUAUAUGAAGUUCCAUCCUUUCUUCUACACCACCACAGACUAGUAGGUCAGUACUGUCCUGGUACAUCACCCUGGUGCCUCUCCAACACUCCUUCCUGUACUGUCCAGAGUCUGACUGAGUGAGACAGUUGAUCCUGAGAUAUAAACUAUUCUGACCCUGUAUCAGUUCCAGUCAAUCCUUAAUCUCUCCAAUCAGGGUGGAAUUAUCAAGUGGGUUAGAAAUGUUCCACAGCAGAAGAUUCCCUUCAUCUGAGGAUCUGGAGAUCAAACAGUAGUCUGCAUUAUUAGGAAUGUAUAAGCGAAAGACGUCCCCUUCUGUAAUGAUGUCCUGGUCUGUAUGGACGGGUUUGAUCCGAAGAACCAGUAAAACACUGAGCUUAAUGAUCCAAGCCAUUCUGUCUGUCUGGUAGGGAAUACUGUUGUCUGCUGAUGUUUAAGUCUUAACACAUUCAACCCAGUGGAUGUUAUAUGAGUGAUUCUGUUAUCUUUUCACACAGAGGAUGCAGAUGAACAUAUCUAUUCAUCUUAGCUGAGAAGUGACAGAGCUAGUAGUGUGUUAAAAUCACUUUAUGACACAAUGCUAAUUACACUUUCGAGGGAAUUUGUUUCAUUUUGUGGUCUGAAGCUUCUGCAUCUUUACAUAUUGUGAUGUCACUAGGGGCCUGGUGAUAGAGGGGUGUUACAUACACUCCAGCAUGCUGAGGGACUACAACAAAAUGGUUCCAGUAAAAUAACUACAACCCCAAGAUGCAGCCAGACAAGAGGGAAUGGCUGAACGGGCAUACCAGGUGUAAACAGGUUAAUCAGAGCAUGUUAGGUGUGUUUUUUUAUUAGGAAGGUGGCACCAUGUUGCAUUUUGUUUAGCUCUUUAGUUGUUUUGUUAAAGAAAGAAAGCAAUGAUUUGUAUUUUGUUCUGAGUCACCUUUGUUUACUUGUUGGAAGAAAUAAAUGGACA